AUGAAAGAGGCGAUCAGAAUGGUACCCGAAUCCAUUUACGAUCCCGAGUUUCCAGACACAUCGCACUUCCGCUCGGGUCGAGGCUGCCACUUGGCCCUCAGACGGAUCAAAGAAGAGUGGGGAUCCUCUCGCUGGUUUUUGGACUUUGACAUCAGGAAGUGUUUUAACACCAUCGAUUCAUCUCAAUCUUGGAGGAAGAGAUCGACGAUUCCAAGUUCUUUUACCCCACUCAGAAAAAGUUUUCCGCCUGACGACUCGUAG
rnacentral:rRNA from 1 species